rnacentral:misc_RNA from 1 species
GAUGAAGAACGUAGCGAAAUGCGAUAAGUAAUGUGAAUUGCAGAAUUCAGUGAAUCAUCGAGUCUUUGAACGCACAUUGCGCCCCCUGGUAUUCCGGGGGGCAUGCCUGUCCGAGCGUCAUUGCCGCCCUCAAGCACGGCUUGUGUGUUGGGCCCCCGCCCCCCGGCUUCGGGGGGCGGGCCCGAAAGGCAGCGGCGGCACCGCGUCCGGUCCUCGAGCGUAUGGGGCUUCGUCACCCGCUCUGUAGGCCCGGCCGGCGCCCGCCGGCGACCCCAAUCAAUCUUUCCAGGUUGACCUCGGAUCAGGUAGGGAUACCCGCCGAACUUAAGCAUAUCAAUAAGCGGAGGA